rnacentral:rRNA from 1 species
GAUGAACGCUGGCGGCGUGCCUAAUACAUGCAAGUCGAACGAAACUUCUUUAUCACCGAGUGCUUGCACUCACCGAUAAAGAGUUGAGUGGCGAACGGGUGAGUAACACGUGGGCAGCCUGCCCAAAAGAGGGGGAUAACACUUGGAAACAGGUGCUAAUACCGCAUAACCAUAGUUACCGCAUGGUAACUAUGUAAAAGGUGGCUAUACUACCGCUUUUGGAUGGGCCCGCGGCGCAUUAGCUAGUUGGUAGGGUAAAGGCUUACCAAGGCAAUGAUGCGUAGCCGAAUUGAGAGGUUGAUCGGCCACAUUGGGACUGAGACACGGCCCAAACUCCUACGGGAGGCAGCAGUAGGGAAUCUUCCACAAUGGGCGAAAGCCUGAUGGAGCAACGCCGCGUGGGUGAAGAAGGUCUUCGGAUCGUAAAACCCUGUUGUUAGAGAAGAAAGUGCGUGAGAGUAACUGUUCACGUUUCGACGGUAUCUAACCGGAAAGCCACGGCUAACUACGUG